AAGCUUAGGUUAACCAAGCUAAACCGGGAGCCUUCAAAGCCCCAAAAAGAGAUAUAACUCUAGCUUCUG
rnacentral:tRNA from 1 species